CCAUAGCUGCUCCUUCCUCACAUCCAAACGACCCCUUUUGCUUCAUAUUCACGUACCCGUUUGCUGCGUCGAAAAGGAAAAAAAAACAGCAGCAGCCAGCAUCUCGGGUCGCUGACAGUCUUGGUUCGAGCUUUCUAUUUACAUCGAGGUCGUCGUUGUUCGUCGAGGUUCGGUACGUCGAGGUUGUUGUCCGAGGUUUCGUCGCAGUUUCGACGUAUCAAACGUUAAUCACAAGAAUGAAGAACUUCAACAAAUGAGCUAGAAAAUUCAUCCAAUGCCUCCAAACUGUUGAUGGUAACUCUGUUCUUCUUUUUUCUCUGGAUCCUUAUCUUGAAUGUUUAUAGGAGUUAACUAAAGAUUCUGCAGGUUAUAUCUGCCACCUACAACCUAUUCAGCAGUUUAAGAAAUGUGAAUAUAUUAGUUUGUACCAUGACCUUUUGACAUGCUUUCAAUUUUGAAUAUUUAUAUUUCGUACAUAAUGAUUGAAUUUUGGUUAUUUCUUGCUUCAUUUUAUUUUGUAGCCACAGAAUAUAAGAAAUAUGUUGUAUCGCCUAACAAUCAGAAAGGAUCACUAAAUGGAAGUAACACUACUCCACAGAUUCAUGCAAGUAGCUCGUUGAACAUAAUUUUCUAGGAUCUAUUGUAGUUAUUUUUCUUGUAUUGAGUGAAUGUAAAAUACUACUUAAAAUUUAAUACAGUUUAUGAUGUAUUUCUAGAAUACUUACAUUUUUAUAUAUAAAAUGUGAUUUAAUUA